GUCACUUUGCCGGAGUGGUUAACGGGAUCGCCUGCUACUUCUGGUAGUCGAUAGCGGUUGGGCUUUGCCCGCGUGUGUUCGAAUCGCACAGGUGACG
rnacentral:tRNA from 1 species